GUCAUAGUAAUAUAUCAUAAAGAAAAUGGAGAGUUUGAACAGAUCAUAAUCAAUUUAUUUACACUUCGUCAAUUAUAUAAGCCUACAAUCAUUUCUGUAUCAAUCUUCAUUCAAAUUACAAUUAAAAUUGCAUUAUGAAAUAAUGAAGGAUAAAUAUUUCUUCAGGGCAAAAAUUGACACAUUUGUUUUUACAUUCUUAUAGAUGGAGUAUUCAUCAACAAACUAAAAUAGCAACAUGCAUUUAUUUAUGUGCACAUGCGCAUGUUGGCAUGUUUGAAACAGAGAAACCAUUAUAGGUGUGUACAUACUUAUUUUUCAUUUAUCAGUCAUACCACCUGUGACCAAAGUGCUCAACAAGAUCCAGGGGAAGGAACAAGCCUACUUUGGGACUCUGCUGCCAACAGUUGUUGCAAUGAUCUUUAGGGCUUGAAGUCCAAGGGCCUCAUCUACUGCAGCCCCUUUGUCGACACACUUUUGGCAGGCAUUGACAAAAGUUUUAGGACCCUUCUGGAGGAUGAGAACUGCCAGCUAGCUGCUGCCUUCCACCCUAGGUUUCGCCUCAUCUGGUUGGCUAAAUAUGACAACACCAAGGUCACCAAAGUGAAGAAAAGCUUGAAAGGUAAGGUCGAAGAGGUCAUGAGGCAGCAGCCUGACAAAGUGAGCAACAACAGAGGAAGCAGUAACAAUGAAAAGCAGGAGGAUGACUUCCUCAGUGGUGUCACCCAGCCAAAAGAAAGCAGCAGGAGCCACAGGUCUCUCAAGGACAAAGCCCAGAAUUUAGUCAAGACCUGGUUGGAGACCAACUCGAAGGAAUUGCUGACAGAUGCUGCCCUCUUGGGUGAGCAAGUGUUGGUGGACUUGUUCAUCAAGUUCAACACAGCCAUUCCCUCCAGUGCUGCAGUGGAGUGUUUGUUCUCUAUGGGCAAGGACAUCUUGAGGGCCAAAAGCUCAUUAUUGUCUGAUGAAAACUUUGACAUGCUAAUUUUCAUGAAGGGCAACAUGCAUCUCAUGAACAAAAUGGAGAAUGAGAAGAAGAGGAAAAAUUAAAUUAUGCAUAUAACGUGUUUUACAUUUUUCAUUAUUAUUUUUUUUACAGCCACUUUAUCAAUAAACGUUUUUAGUUUAAUACCAA